rnacentral:ncRNA from 1 species
GGGUGCGACAGGGCUACCUGUCGUAGGUUUCCGGAUGGUCGGGCCGCCAUCC